CCUACGGGAGGCAGCAGUAGGGAAUCUUCCACAAUGGACGCAAGUCUGAUGGAGCAACGCCGCGUGAGUGAAGAAGGCUUUCGGGUCGUAAAACUCUGUUGUUGGAGAAGAAUGGUCGGCAGAGUAACUGUUGCCGGCGUGACGGUAUCCAACCAGAAAGCCACGGCUAACUACGUGCCAGCAGCCGCGGUAAU
rnacentral:rRNA from 1 species